GGUUUACACUAUCAAAGUUUCUGUGAUCACAGUAGGAAUUUUACAUUCAGGUAAAUUCUAAAUUUUGAAGGAUUUGUAAGAAAUGUUCGAGGAAACUGACUUAGUGUUGAACACUGAGUCAGUUCUCUCCUACUGUGAUCACAGAAACUUUGAUGGUGUAAACC